rnacentral:misc_RNA from 1 species
UUAGAGAAGCCGCUGACAGAGCCCUGGCCUUCGCUGCUAAGGGGAAAACAAGGUGGAGCCGUGCCAUAUUGACUAGCCGAAUCAAGCUUAAGUUCAGGAAGCAGCACAAGAGGCACAGAGUGGUGGCGGCUUCUACUACCUCGACGGUAACCGGAACUAGCCGAUCGAAGAAGCCGAGAGUUAGCGUUUUGAGGUUGAAAGGGAAGAGUUUACCAGCUGUACAAAGGAAAGUGAGUGUUCUGGGCCGGUUGGUUCCUGGUUGCCGGAAACAACCGUUGCCUGUUAUCCUAGAAGAAGCGACUGACUAUAUAGCUGCUUUGGAGAUGCAAGUUCG